ACGAACGCUGGCGGCGUGGAUAAGACAUGCAAGUCGAACGGGAGAAUUGCUAGCUUGCUAAUAAUUCUCUAGUGGCGCACGGGUGAGUAACACGUGAGUAACCUGCCUCUUAGUGGGGGAUAGCCCUGGGAAACCGGGAUUAAUACCGCAUACGAUUGAAAGAUCAAAGCAGCAAUGCGCUAGGAGAUGGGCUCGCGGCCUAUUAGUUAGUUGGUGAGGUAACGGCUCACCAAGGCGAUGACGGGUAGCCGGUCUGAGAGGAUGUCCGGCCACACUGGAACUGAGACACGGUCCAGACACCUACGGGUGGCAGCAGUCGAGAAUCAUUCACAAUGGGGGCAACCCUGAUGGUGCGACGCCGCGUGGGGGAAUGAAGGUCUUCGGAUUGUAAACCCCUGUCAUGUGGGAGCAAAUUAAAAAGAUAGUACCACAAGAGGAAGAGACGGCUAACUCUGUGCCAGCAGCCGCGGUAAUACAGAGGUCUCAAGCGUUGUUCGGAAUCACUGGGCGUAAAGCGUGCGUAGGCUGUUUCGUAAGUCGUGUGUGAAAGGCAGGGGCUCAACCCCUGGAUUGCACAUGAUACUGCGAGACUAGAGUAAUGGAGGGGGAACCGGAAUUCUCGGUGUAGCAGUGAAAUGCGUAGAUAUCGAGAGGAACACUCGUGGCGAAGGCGGGUUCCUGGACAUUAACUGACGCUGAGGCACGAAGGCCAGGGGAGCGAAAGGGAUUAGAUACCCCUGUAGUCCUGGCAGUAAACGGUGCACGCUUGGUGUGCGGGGAAUCGACCCCCUGCGUGCCGGAGCUAACGCGUUAAGCGUGCCGCCUGGGGAGUACGGUCGCAAGAUUAAAACUCAAAGAAAUUGACGGGGACCCGCACAAGCGGUGGAGUAUGUGGCUUAAUUCGAUGCAACGCGAAGAACCUUACCUGGGCUUGACAUGUAAUGAACAACAUGUGAAAGCAUGCGACUCUUCGGAGGCGUUACACAGGUGCUGCAUGGCCGUCGUCAGCUCGUGUCGUGAGAUGUUUGGUUAAGUCCAGCAACGAGCGCAACCCCUGUUGCCAGUUACCAUCGAGUAAUGUCGGGGACUCUGGCGAGACUGCCCAGAUCAACUGGGAGGAAGGUGGGGACGACGUCAGGUCAGUAUGGCCCUUAUGCCCAGGGCUGCACACGUACUACAAUGCCCAGUACAGAGGGGGCCGAAGCCGCGAGGCGGAGGAAAUCCUGAAAACUGGGCCCAGUUCGGACUGUAGGCUGCAACCCGCCUACACGAAGCCGGAAUCGCUAGUAAUGGCGCAUCAGCUACGGCGCCGUGAAUACGUUCCCGGGUCUUGUACACACCGCCCGUCACAUCAUGGAAGCCGGUCGCACCCGAAGUAUCUGAAGCCAACCGCAAGGAGGCAGGGUCCUAAGGUGAGACUGGUAACUGGGAUG
rnacentral:rRNA from 1 species